rnacentral:sRNA from 11 species
AAACACCAGCCAGGCUGGUUGGUUCAGUUAAGCUUUCAGCUUCGAGAAUUUUAUGAAAGCUAUUGAUUUGUUAAAAUAAAUCACAGUCUGGUGACUGCAAAAGUUAAACGAGAAAUCAAAAG